rnacentral:rRNA from 1 species
AAUAGAUACCCUGGUAGUCCACGCCGUAAACGGUGGGCGCUAGGUGUGGGGGACUUUCCACGUCCUCUGUGCCGCAGCUAACGCAUUAAACGCCCCGCCUGGGGAGUACGGCCGCAAGGCUAAAACUCAAAGGAAUUGACGGGGGCUCGCACAAGCGGCGGAGCAUGUGGCUUAAUUCGACGCAACGCGAAGAACCUUGCCAAGGCUUGACAUGCAGGGAAAUCUCGUAGAGAUACGGGGUCCGCAAGGGCUCUGCACAGGUGGUGCAUGGUUGUCGUCAGCUCGUGUCGUGAGAUGUUGGGUUAAGUCCCGCAACGAGCGCAACCCUUGUCCUAUGUUGCCAGCGAGUAAUGUCGGGGACUCAUAGGAGACUGCCGGGGUCAACUCGGAGGAAGGUGGGGAUGACGUCAAAUCAUCAUGCCCCUUAUGUCUUGGGCUGCACACAUGCUACAAUGGUCGGUACAAAGGGCUGCGAGACCGCAAGGUGGAGCGAAUCCCAAAAAGCCGGCCUCAGUUCGGAUUGGGGU